AAAAAGGCCCAUGCAGAUGUACAUAGCGACCACACAUCUUUCCUAUGCACCGUAAAAACAUUCCUCUUUUCCCUUCACACUUUCACAGUCACAUGUUCCUCUUGCCCGAUCCCCUUUCUCUCUUUCAGUCUUCUCUACUCUCUCCGGUCACUCCAACAUUUCUGCCGCCGGCGCCGAAUAGCUCCCAUCAGCUUUCUUCCUUGAUUCUGUGCCUUGAGCUUGCUCGUCCUCACCUGCAGCCACCCCCACAUCUCGAUUCUCUGUUGCAGCCACAGGGUGCCCCACAGCUCGAUUCGCCGUUCCAGCCACAGUGUGACCUUCGACGGCGGUUGGUUUUUCUCCUCGUGUGCGUCCUCAGUCUCCUAGGCUGGUAAAUAGCGAUGGAGGGGUAGCAGGGCCCAAGCUGGAGCUGCGCAAGGGAGGAGGCGAGAUCAUCGAUCUGCGCGGUGUUGUUCCUGUCAGCGUUCGUGCAGGUGAUGUGGGCGUGGAUUUCGUCUCCCGCUGUCAGCUUUGAUCCAUCUUUAGUAUGAGGAUGGUGGAGACGUUUUCUGCCCCUUGAGCGCCAGACGCAUCCUACACAUCGGCGACAUUCUUCGAAGGUCCCCAUUUUCCUUUUUCUGACUUUGUCAUAUACUUUUUUUCAUAACCGGUUCCUUUGUUUGUGCGGUUGAACCAAUAUAAUGUAAUUAAGGGAAUGCUUGUUAGUGAAAAAUGUUUUCCCACUUUCCCUUGAAAUCAUGGAAAAACAUGUGAUUCUGUUUUUAAGUAUAAGGUACUGUAGAUAAUAAUUAGUGAGUGAAAAUCAAAAAGAAUGCAAGUUUAUUUCUACGCACACAUGAUAACUGAACAUGUGAGGUUCGUGGGGGCGUUGUUGUCCCCAAGCUCUGACUCGGACGCGUAGUCACUGUCCCAAAGUGAGGCAGCUCAAAAAUUUGUCUUCAUCUGCAGCAGAGGUAGCCGGGCUUGGUCAUCGAAUAUUUUUGCUCCUCUUUGUUCAGAUGUUGUUCGGAGUUCAAACUACCAAAGAUCCUCGAGUGGUGUUCUUUUUGCUCCACUUUGUUGUAAUUAAUCUCUUCAUUCAAUAGCCUGUUUCCAAGUUCAAUUAUUUCUGAAGAAAGUGGGAGCUCAAUUUUGGGGUUUACCUUGAGUUUAUUUUCGAGCUUGUCUCUAAUUCCACCAAGGCGUGUCCUUGUUUCUGUGAAUUUGUGGCAUAACAUUGGUCUUCUGACUUGGCAGUGGCAUAAUAUUAUUGUGAAUAGUUGUCCUUGGUAGUUGCCAAUCGCCCACUGAAGCCACUCUGUUGUCAUUGAGAAAUCAUAGUGCUUCGCAAGCAGAUCUGUAUGAUGUGUGGACAACUCCAUUUACUGUUCUCAUGUCUUAGAAACAUGUGAAUCCUUUCUUGAGUUUAGUAGUAUUCACAUGUACUAUUUUUUUCUGAUUGCGGGAUGGGCAUAAUAUAUCCUUCCAACUGAUCUUCAUUUCUUCCUUUUGCUUCACUUCGUGUCUUUCUUCUUCCAUACCUUUUUUGACAGGAACUCUGCAUAUGUUAAUUCUGUGGCUUCCUCACACAUCUUGUGUGUCUCCAUCUACUGUGUAAAUUUAGUGAUUCUCCCUCCUUUCCUUAUUGUCUGUUUAAUUUGUAGAAUCUGCUAAAAUGACUUGUUGCUCAUUUUCCAGGUGGAAAGUCAAUCUUUCAAUGCAGGGAUCUCUGAAGUGCAUUUCAAAUUGAAAUAUUCUCCAACACGCGUCAUCUCUUGAUCUCAUUGUUUCGUAUUAGCACAGUGGAUUGGUCAUCACCUUUAUUUAUGUAUUUAAAAAGAAAGUGGCAGGCGACGGACGACUACAAAGAUCAAUGGCGAUGCGCCUGCUGUGCUUUGGACUGAGGAGAGUACCUUGCUCUGCUGCUUCAGACCUUGGCCGGCCUUGCUCAUCCAAAUGUAAAGGAGACCAACUUUGUGCCGAAAUCUUUAAUGUUAAAGAGGAUCUUAAGUUCCAAUCAUCACGCGAAGACACAAAUAUUGAGUAUUUUUUUAGUAGCAGCCGGCUGAAGCCAUAUCUACCUGAUUAAUGAGGCUGCAGCCAUCUGCACUGAUGAUCGAUGUCAUAUGGAAAUCAUGUGGGAAUAAGCAUGCGCUCUCCAAUCUCCAUGGACUCCAGUGCCUCGUCUGCCUCCAUCUGCACCCGCCGCUGCAGCGUGGCCCCGGCGUCUUACUCUCCGCUAUUGCUGCUGCCAUGGCGUCGUAAGCAUUUGUCUGCUGCUCAACUGCAGCGUACCACCACUUGAAGCGGCUGUAAGAGUCCUAGGGCAAAAUCCAUCCCCAUGCAAGCUUCCUCCACAGGGCAUGGUGGCGGCGUGCGGAAAAAGGAGUCGAAAACCUGGGCGAGGGAUCUUUUCCUCUUAUUUUUGUGUUUGUGAAAUCGUGUGGAUCCUGAGAAAUUGCAUGGAUCUGUGUAACGUGAAUGUAAUUUUUUUUUCUAUGUACGUGUAAGCUAAAAAGGAUUUAUGUACGUGUAUAUGCCAACUCACAUGCACAUAUGGGUCAUUUUUUGACAGAAUUGAGAGAUUGUUUAGAAUUGAGAGAUUGUUUCUGAUUUGGUGCGUCGGGUAUAUGGGUCCACCCGGUUAUGAAGAUCUAACAGUUCUAGAUUGAUCAAUGGAAUUAGGCCCACUGAAUUAAA